UUGAGUCAGACAUCAUCAUUCCUUCCCUUUGGGUUCGCCUGCAUUUACAGUAGCUUUUCCCGGUCACUUCAGAUCUGCUCAUGGGACAGUGACGGAUCUGUCCCUUUGUCUCAGCUGCCUCAGCUGUCUCAGCGUGUAGGAGCGUGCAGGGUGAGCAAGCUGCUGUGUACAGCUGGUUUUCCUCCUUUUUUUCCUAAAUAAUCUUCCUCAGAUGCAUUGAGCUGCCAAUUGUGCUAAUUAGGAUCUCCCUGCUCUAAGGGUUUUCACCCAGGCUAACCGGUUCUCAAGUUCCUUGUCCCACCCCUGCUUUCCCUGCAGCAAGUGAUCCCUUUGUGCCUUGCUGGAUCUCAGGCUCCUGAACGACUAAACCAUCAUUUCAUGUAAUUUUAAACUUACAGUUUAGAUACUUAUUUAUGAGGAUAAAUGUUGUUUACAUCUCUGAAAUAUUAUUAUCUUUUCCAAAUAUUGCAGAAAGCUUCAGUGUUGAAGGAAGCCCACAGGUUCCCUUUAGAAGCUGACAAGUGGGUGUUUUGUUGAUUUUGUUGAUUUUGUUGUUGUUGUUGUUUCACGUGACCCUCACUGAAAAUACUGUCACUGCUCUCUGUUUUCAGAAAUGGGCCAUUUAACUGAGAAAGCCAUGUUUGUCUUAUGCACUACUUCACUGGGGAGAAAAUAUGUUGAAAGAGCAUGCAAUAUCAAAGGUAUUUUGAAUCAAAUUCAUUUCAGCUGGUUUCUUUGGAAGAUUCAGCCUUGUUUUCACAGAGUUCUUUGUCAGAACCUAAAGCACAAAAUACUCUUUUGGGUCAAAGUUACUAGACAGUAAUGAAAACAGCAUUUUUGUCCUCAAUUACGUGGACAAGACAAGAUUGUUGUGCAGCCACAGCUGUUUGUCUCAGGGCUGUGAUGGAUGUUGUCACUUAGCAACCACUGCCAUUUGUGUUUUAACUGCAGCUUUUUUGUUGUUGGCACAUAAUGAGAGUCGUAAGUAAUCACAAGAUCAGUCCCAUGGAGAGUGUUUGUUAUCAAGGUGGGUUUUAGGACUCACCUGUGCCCCAGCCCUGUAAGGGCUAAAUCAGAUGAUUCCAUGUGUGAUGGCUAAUGCAGCUCAGUAAGGGUUUGUCUAGGAGCUGGCUUGGCUGGGCCAAGUCAUGUUUCAGGAUGUGCAGCCUGCAUUCACCAUCUGCCAGACCUGGCUCUGCAGCUCCUUGGUGCUGGUCACAGCCCAACCCAGGAGCUGCUUUGAGGCCAAAGCUGCGAGCACAGAAAGGAGGGACCAGCCUGGGCAAGCCUGGAUGUCUCAGUGCACAGCAACACCAGAUCUCUGCUCAUUCUGCUGGCCCAGCCCCAGAGCUCAGGGAAUAUGGGCUGAGUGGAGACUGGAAAGAUAAUGAGAUGGGAGAAGUGAAGAUUGAAGGUCUCUGUUUCUUGAGGGUAAUUCUCACCUAUCCUGCAUUGACAAUGAGGGAAAAGGGUCGGACCUAUGACAGCUCAAGCUCUAACACCCUACAGGUUAAGGUCGUGGUUUAACACCUGAUCUGAUCUAAGAAAUGUCUCUCAAAGAGGUGGGUGCACCCUCUGUGCCAGACAUUGGGGUCCUGUCUGGCAUGGAAGUUAGUAACCAGGCAAGUGGGGAGUUACUUGGUUUGGAUGGGUUUGUUUUAUGGAGGCAGAGGUGUGAAGGGUAUCUUUAGAGCCCUGUUAUAAUGUUCAUUAUUAUGUAAAUAAACACUUUCAGCUGAGCUCUGAGCAGAGACUGCGUAUCGGUACCACGGAUAGAAAAGCUGUUUAAUUUAAUUUUGCUUUAACUGAAGUUAAUUGUUGUGUAAUUGCACCUGUAGCUCUGCAGGGACCCUUCCAUCGGGGGGAUUUAGGAGAUCCCCCAGGAUGUGUUUCCUUGCACACCCUCAACCCUGCUCUGCCUUGUCCAGAUGAACACGCUGCUCCUUCAAACCCCCUUCCUGCGUGUUCUGGCUCCAAGGUUAAAGGCAGGACCUGUCCUGCCUCUGGAGCAGCAGGGCUGACACAGCCCAAGGUCUGGCCCUGCCAAGUGCUGCUUUAUUUCAGCAGAAGCCAAAACCCACUGCUCUAAGGGGGGACGACACAGACCACAGAGCUGCUGCUACUGGUACGUAUUUCCAUUGUAAAUUGCUGAGAUCUUCUGCAGUGAAGCCUUUUGAUGAGUUCCUCUCUAAUGCACACUGGUUUUUAGGAGCCUCGAUGAAUAUGUAUUGAAAGGUAGAGCAGAUUUUAUCAGAGGAGGAGAGAAGGAAUUGCAUAGGUGUGCACAAAGUGAUCUGUGAUCAUAGAUCACGUAUAUCUAAGCUGAAGCAACAGCCCUAGACAUUUAUGGCCCAUUUUUGACUAAGCUGUGCAAUUAGUGUAAUUAGGCAAAAAAUAUUCUUUGUAUUGUAAAUGUCUAGUGUAUUAAACCAGAAAAUUAACAGCCAUUUCUUUGGCAGCUUUCAUUAAGCCAUUGCUAGUGUAGGCCUGAGCCAAAGAUGCAUAAUCUCUCUGGUGUCUGAGUCUGAGCAGUCAAAGGAUAAAUCCUCUCUUCAGAGCUUUGUUGAAAUGUGUUGAAAGCAACUCUAGGAAUUUCCUACCUGUGUACAGAUCAGAAAACACAACUUAACACCGCCCCUCUGCAGAUAAAGAGCUGAAAUGAGCUUUGAAAUUUUCUUCUUUCACAGCACCAGCCACCAGAGAUACAAAUUUCUUAAGCUGUGAUGUUUUUUGUCAAUACUACCUCUAUUUCUCCUGCCAGCUAUUCACAGCCUACUUAAAAACAAAGGACAGUCCUGAGCCUCUUGUUCUCUUGCAUUGAGGCCCACGUGUGGCCACAGCCUCUGCCAGAAUCAGCUCAGGGGUGUUGGAAAAACUCUCAGUGGUGCCUGCCUCCUGCAGGAACCAAACACAGCUACAGCUCUGGUGGGAUGAUGAGUUUCCAGAGAAAUCCAUCCCAAAAUGUGCAUAGGAGGAGGGCAGGCAGCCCCCUGCUUCUCUGUGCUGUGUGACAGAGUGAGCUGGUGGUAGUUUCUGGAGGGGCAGCUGCUGUUGUGAAGUGUUAAAUAACAAUGGCACUGCUGAAUGGAUGCUCAGGGCUGUCUCCUCGGGAGCCAAGCCUUCCCCCAGGUGCAGCAUGACCACGGCUCCCUGGCAAGAUUUAGCAGAGUGUAAUUCUUAACCCACAGGAAGCUCUGCAGCUGGGAUAAGGAUCUUGUGGAGGUGCAAAAAGAGCCUGGGUAGGUAAGAAGUGGGUUUAAAAUAAAGUGUGAGUGUAAGCAACUGGAGUAGGGCUUGUAUGAGUCCUCAAGUGUGUGAAGAUGGGCAUCCUAGAGAGGUAUCCCAGUAGGAGGGAUGAUCCACAUCAGUAGCUAUUGUGUGCUCACAGCUAAAUUUCCAGCUCAAAAAUCCCACCCCAUUGUUUUCUGUAGAAAGAAUUGUGGAGUUUUUAGUUUGCUUUCAUCUCCCUUAAUCUCUCUAGCCCUGGGCAUUUGUUCCACACUCUGCCCAGAUGUCCAUGACCCUUCCUGAUUCUCCCAGCUCCCAGGGGCAGCAUGGCAGUGCCAGCACCUCGGUGUCAGUGGCACUCCACUGUCACUGGAGCAGCAGAGGAAGCAAAAGGCAAAGCAGGGAACUCAGACAGGACAGAAACACAGAGUCAGCACUGUCACAGAGCUGCUGGAGGUGGAGACCUGGUUUUAAUGAAAGAGGAAACGAGUCCUUAAUCCCCUUGUAAAGGUAAGGAGACCCCCCCAGCUUGUUUUACAUUUGGUUUUUAGUAUACAAGUGUAUAAACACAAUUUUGGACUGCAAUUAGGCAAAUGCUACAAACAUAAUGUCACCCUCACCCCAGUUUAUUAAAAAGAGAAAGGAGUUCCAUGAAAAACUAAUAGGUCUGGGAGUUGAGAGACCUUGGUAAUAAGCAGUGAGUUUUCCUUCUGCAACAACUCACUUUUUCAAUUUGCUGAUAUCUGAAUAACUCCUUGGAGUCUCCUAAACUGCAGAGUCCUGAAAUGACAAGAAUUCCAGUGCUGAACAGGAGGGAGGUGUUCACCCAGCAACCUGCUGCCUCCUCUCCUGGAGCACAGCUGACCUACUGUCAACACAGAAUGCUGCUUUUGGAACUGCAGUGCCUUCACUAGACAGGACUGCUGGAACUCCACAAAUACUCCACACCUCUUUAAAAGCUCAUCCCUGCUCUCUCACUAACCCUUUCCAUUUCUGAGAUGAAUGCAGUGACAGGAAAAGGCCUGAAUUUUAGUAUCUUCUAUCUUUUGCCAGGUGUUGGCCCAGCUCAGGUGGAAUUGUGUCAGAAGCAGAGCCAUUCUCCCCUAAAAACAGCUGCUGGUAAAAAACCCAAGGGCUCUGUCACACAUAAAGCUGUGCACAGAGCAAGAGGCAAGUGUGUUGCUUUCCUCAAAAGGCACAGAGCAAACCUUCAGCCUCAGCAGCAACAGAUCCAAACUGCAUCUCAGCCCAUUGUACUGCUGCAGGGAGGAGAUUGCACAAGUCUGCUUUACUGCUUUAGAUGCUACAGCCUGCACUGCCCCAAAAUCAAUGCCAUGUUCUGCCUCUCCACAGGCUGCAGGAGGAUAAAGGAUGCUCAGUAACAACUGCAGAAAAAGAACCCACCAUGGUUUGAUCUACUGCUAAAGCCCUCAGUUACAGGUCAGAAGAUGCUUCACCAGCCCAACUGACUUUCACAGCAUUAAAAGAAAUACUCCUCAAAUCUGAACUGGUAAAUCUUUGCACCUACCUCUCAAGCACUUAACCAUGGAAGUGAGGAACUCCAGGGAAGAAUCUCUUACUUCCCAGCAAGGACUGCACAAACGUUUCUGCAGCACCACAAACACAUCUGUAAAAGGCAAAUGACAAACCUGAAAGGACAUGAAAGGCAACAAGCCUUACUGAAACACUCACUGUACAACCUCUACAUCAUUUCAUCUGAUACAAUCCCUUUUGCUGCUGCUGGAUGCUUCUUCUAGAGUUCUGCAAAGCACUAUUUGGGCAGCUAAACAUAAAUUCAACAGGAUUGUGAACAAGUGAAUCCAGUGCUUUGAGCAGGAAAGGUAGGCAGGAGCAGAUUUCAUGUGUGCCACUAGCUGCUGUUUGUCCCAGCUGUAACAGCUUCAUUACCUUCCAAAAUCUUCUCUGUUUGUUGCCACUGACUGCUGGAGGAGGACAGUUCCUGCAAGUGCACCAACCACUUGGAUGUAGCUUGAAAGGUUUUCUUUAGAACCUGAAGCAAUGUAAAUCAGAUUGACUUUACUACAGGAUGAAGCAGUGUUGCCUUUAUGCCUUUAAAGGUAAAAUUAAUUUUAGCCUCAAACUUACAGAGAAAUUAUCAGAAUAAAAAAGUGCAUAUGCUUCCUUACUCAGAAGCCAGGCACAAAAAAUGGUGCUUAAAUAUAAUUUCUAAUGAACACCUAGAAAAUCCAUGUGUUCAGCUUAGCAUUAUGAAGUUCUAGUGCCUCCAGCUUUGGGUUUGCAGCUGCCAUCAGAGUAAUUCAAACAAAAUAAAGCAAAAAACCAAAUCCCCUUAAUAAAAAGAAUUCAGUAUUUCAUGACCAUGUCAAGUUGAGUAUGUCAGUGCUACUCUUAGACAUGAUGACUCCUGUCUUCUCAAGAACUCUCAAUGUACUGGUCAGUUAUUUGCUCAUUACAAUUUUAGCUAUUUUCUGCAAGCCACCCAGGACAAGACAAGUGUCCUACAUAUUCUAAUACAAAGUGGGCUAAGAAACAACUGCAGUCAGACCCUUUAUCAGAAUUACACCCCACUGGGGCAAGCUAAUAGACCUGGAUCUCUCCCUAGUUCUAUACUCACAGUAGGGUUGGUGUUUGGACUCUGCAGAUAUGCCAGAAGGACAUCAAAUAAACUUCCUAUGAGAGUGUCACAGUCUGAAACAGAGAAAAUAAACCCAAAGGACCAACAAUGAGAGAUGGAGCAGCCAUAUCCCUGCUGAAAUACACAAAGACACAGAAUUGUAAAAUAAGAAAGAAAAGAUGAACUCACCUUUUUUCUCUGAGAGUGCUGCAAGGACAUCAAGAGCUGACUUUUGCACUCUGAAGGAAUUGAUCAAAUUACGGCUUAUUGUGCUUCCCAGGGGAGAAGCUGGGCUCAGGAAGCCAUUG